CGCGCCUCAGGACUCGGGUUUCUAACCUUUCCUGCAGUGACAGUGGGAGUGAAAAAGUUUGUCUGCAUGUGGGUUUUUUCCAGACGGACCGAUUCCUGUAGAUCAGAGAUGAGACGUAAUGCAGGAGCAGAUAAGAUAUAAAAGUCUGGAGAAAUGUGAAAUGAAUAAAUGCAUAAUUCAGAGAGGAAGACGAGGAAAGUGAGGCAGAGCGAUCACCUUGAUCUCCACACCUCGUCACAGCGAUGGCUUCGUUUUGCUGUCACAGCCAAUAAAAAGAGAGGAAGCGUU